rnacentral:misc_RNA from 1 species
UUUCCGUAGGUGAACCUGCGGAAGGAUCAUUAUUGUAUAACCGAGGUGCGAGGGCUGUCGCUGACCCGAAAGGUCGUGCACGCCCGAGUGCCCGCACACACAUCCAUCUCACCCCUAUGUGCACCACCGCGUGGGUCCCCAUUUGGCUUGUUCGGAGGGGGGCUUACGUUUUCACACAAACUUUGUAUGCAGUGUAGAAUGUAUUUUUUGUUUUUGCGAUCACGCAAUCAAUACAACUUUCAACAACGGAUCUCUUGGCUCUC